GUGGCUUAGUGGCUAGAGUACAGGACUAGGACCUGAGAGACAGGGUUCAUAUCCCUCACUUAGCCAUUGUUAUAACAAGGCAAAACAAGCUGCUCCUUUUGGACUAUUUUGUUGCUGGGUAGUUUGGCCCAUUUGUGAUAUUGCUCCCAAAAAAAACUUUGGGUUUCUUGAGGAGGUGCUUCCCUCUAAAGGGCAAGCAGGGGUACCUGGACAGGCGGUGGGCUGCCUCGAGUUUGUUAUCUCAUUGGAAACAUUUAUGUCUGGCCUAGCAGGUGAUCCUAGGGCUUGGCCCGCUUGGCCCUAGAAUUUGAUGGCCUCUGGCAGCGUUUCUGGCCUGAAUAGCGUCCCCAUGUGGUGCACAAAGCAUUGGUUUCACCUGUUCCUCACAUUGUUUAGGUUUUUUCUUUUUGCAGACUAUGACAGGGCCUUUGCAGAUGCCUCCAGAGCUUGCCUCUCCUGCAGAGGAUGACUUGUUGAUGCCCCAGGUGCCUUCUUCGGGAAGGAAGUGUCUUCAGAGGCAGGAAAAAGCGGAGCAGGGAUGAUGCUUACACCUCCUUGCAGGUAAAUCAUCACUGGGCUCUGAUGAUGAUUCAGACAUCACCUCCAGGGGUCAGGGUGAGGCUGUUCCAGGUCUUUAGGGAUCAUCCUGGAUAGCUCAGCUGAUCAGCGUAUGGUGCCGGUAAUGCCUAGGUUGCAGGAUUGGUCCCUGUAUGGGACAGCUGCAUGCUCCCUCAUCACUUUACCCGGACACUGAGGUCCAGCGCCGAGGGCCUUUCUGGUGGUUCCCUCACUGUGAGAAGCCAAGUUACAGGGAACCAGGUGGAGGGCCUUCUCAGAAGUGGCACCUGCCCUGUGGUACACCCUCCCACCAGAUGUCUACUACGAGACUUUUAGAAGACAUCUAAGGCAGCCCUGUUUAGGGAAGCUUUUAAUGUUUGAUGCAUUACUGUAUUUUAAUAUUUUGUUGGAAGCUGCCCAGAGUGGCUGGGGAAGCCCAGCCAGAUGGGCGGGGUACAAAUAGAUUAUUAUUAUUAUUAUUAUUAUUAUGAUUAUGAUUAUGAUUAUGAUUAUGAUUAUGAUUAUGAUGAUUAUUAUUAUUAUUAUGAUAUUGUGGGAGAGUGGACUAGAUGAUCCUAGGCGUCCCUUCCAACCCCACUAUUCUAUAAGUGGUAAUUCACUAUGAUGGGAAUGUUAGACACAGGGCUGCCAUCAACCCCUUAGCUCGCUAGGAUCGCAGGGAUGGGGACAUGUGGACCACUUGCGCAGCUCCACAUUUCAAAUGGAAAUUCCCUGAGCAAUAGAACCUGAAGCUGGUAUGCAGGAAGCUGGCCCGGUGGCAGCUUUGUUGGGACUUCUUUAGGGUUUCUGGCCAGUGUUGGCCCUGUAAAUUUACACAUCAUGGUGGCAACACAAGGCAAGGCUUCUUGCCCAAGCGGGGGCUGGCAAGCAAUAACUCAAUACCUCUCACCCAUAUUUCCAUAAAAAUAUCUCCCUUUAAAGCCUGGCUAAAAGGUUAUCUAGAUGGGUCAGUAGCUUUGUGCUUGUGGGAAGGGUUUUUCCCAAGGUUUCGGGAUUCCUCUGGCUUUUCAGCCAGUGGCUCAGAAUACAGCAACUCAAAAGCCAGUUAGAGAGCUACCUGUGGUAGCCAGAAAGAAGGUUAGGAAGCAGCUUGCAUUGGGACGUAUGGUGGGAUCCCCUUGAUUCUCCUUCUAGUCCCGAUUUUCAUUUAUCCCCAUUGGGGAUCGUCCCUAAGAAAGCCCCGUAUAAUUCCAUCUGAUCCAUAUUUAUCGCACCCCAAAGGCACCUCAGUGAAUGAUGCUUUCCCUCCGGAAUUGUUCCAUGAAAUAUGCAUCUUUGGAUCAGGCAGUUGAGCUUACCAACAAAUUGGAGGAGGUGCCUUGUUGGCAUUAUGCGAUAUUGAAUCGGCUGUUAGGCUGCUGCCGGUUCACCCUCAAGAUUUUAAGUAGUUAGGCUUUAACUGGAUGGUCCUUAUAUUGAUAAGGCGAUGCCAGUUGGUUGCUCAAUAAGCUGUGCAGCACUUGAGUCCUUUAGCGCCUUUCUGGAUUGAACAUUGCGAGUCAAGACUCGUUUAACUGUGGGUAUCGUUAUGUGGAUUAUUUUACUGGCUGGUUCAUGUGACACCAGCCUCUGCUUAGCUUACUAGAUGCCCCUUUAUUCCCUGAGGAGCUGGGUGUUCUGUUGACAGUGGAGGACAGUGGCUCCUACUGCCCCUUUUAACGUAUUUGGGGGCUAGCUGGAUACCGUUGCUUAAACAUCUGCUUGCCUGUGGAAAAGCUGUUUGCCUUGAAGGAUGUUAUUCUUGUAAUGCUUCCUCUGAAGCAAGUGUUGCUUUGUCAGAUCCUAUCAUUCCUAGGUCAGUUAAAUUUUGCAUGCAGGGUGGUUGCUCCAGGCUGCCCCUUCCAUUCCUGCUUGGCCAGGUGGUCUCAUGGCCCGGGGUCCCUUCAUCAUCAUGUACAGUGGCCUUGAGCCUGGAAGGGCAAGGCAAUCACAUUUAACCCAACUUUUCUCGAGUUUUCCCCAUUGUAGUGUCAGCGCACAUCUGGACUGAGGAGUUUAGGGACCGUCAGGUCUGUCUUAGUCUGAUAACCAGGCAGUGUGAGAGUCCUGGCAAAACGGUCUUCAUGCUCUGGCAGAGUCUUCGCACUGCUUAAGGUUUAAUAUUGCGUUUCUGCUCGCUUUAUUUCGGGAUCAUCUAAUGUUUUUGCUGUCGCUCUAUCCCUUUUUUUCAGUUGGAGAGCUUCAGAUCCUGGGCUCUGGACACCCAGCUAUAGCCGGAUUUUUCUGGAGCUCCUGUGGCACUUGGCAACAAUUAAUAAUUAUGAGGAAUAGUAGCUUACGUUUCCCCAUCCGCUUUCAGGUCUUAUGAGAAGGCCUGGACUGAUUUCUUAAAAUUUAGCUGGUAGUCCUCGGCCAUUCAGAGGAACCUGCCCCCAUCCUCUGAGCAGGACCUGCAGUAAUUCGCCCACCUGCUGCAGAUCGGAUGCAGUGUUAAAACUAUCAGAAUUCAGUCGGCUGCAAUGUCUGCUAGAGUAAAGCUUUAAUUUUUCAGAGACCCUUCUAAAAGUGUGUCAUGCGCAGGGUCUCAGAAGGCUGGAAUAGGCUCUGACCUUCACAGGACAGCAGGCAGGAAGCCGGUCAAUCUUUGACCUAUGCAGUAUCCGCAACAAGUUAAGACUUGUUGGCUGGUUCAAGAUCAAGACGAGACUUAUUUCAGUAUUCCAUUGUAAUUUUGGUGUACUGAGGGUUGGGGAAAUGGUGUUGGAGCCAGCACGGGGCUGAGAGUUUGGAGGCUUAUUGCCUCAGGACUUUUCCUUAUCUGCUUUGGAGCUUGUCAUAAGUGUCUGGAGCUCUAAGUCAGACCUAGUGAGCAGGGUUGCCACCAUCAGGCUUCCAGUCACAGGUGAGGUGGGCCCUUGCCCUGUUAUUGGAUACCGGAAAUAUUUGGCUUUUCGUUCCCCUGGGGGCUGGCUCGAUCCUAGUGCACAGAAAUGGGUUCCGGUUCGACAGGCAUCUAAUUGCUCACGUCGUGCGCCAGUUAUUGCAGCCUGCGGCUUGCCUACCGCUGAACACACCUCAUUCCUUCCAAAUAGGUGCUGCUGCAAAGGCUGCACACUGGGGCCUGUUAGUAGACAGGAUUGUGAAUACGGAUCAUUGGAAGUCUGACGCUGACAAAGGUUAUGUCAGGAAGCAUCGCCAAUGAUGCCUGUGCUGAUGCCUGUCUGUUAUUCCUUUUUUCAUAGGAGCAGCUGUGCGCAUUUGGAUUGUCGGCCACAGCAUCAUGCACUGAGCUGGCAAGCACCCUGACGAGUCUGGACUGGGGGCGCCAUCUCGGCCUUCCUGCCCAUGUUUCUAGCUCCAGUUCGCAUCUGGAUUGUGGGGCACAGCAUCGUUUACUGGGCUGGCAUCAGAGCUAGGCAGUCUGGAAGGGGACUGGGUCUUGGCCUCCCACAGCAUGUGCAGGUGUUGUGGAUGUCCAGGCACAGAAUGCAGUGGAGCGAAUUCAUCCCGCUAAUUAAGCAGAGGGUGCUUUCGGAUGGCCCCCCCAUGGCAAUUGUGGUUCAGCUGGGGGAGAACUAUGUGGCAACUUAUGAUUGCUUUACUUUGCGCUCCACGAUUCAGAGAGACUUGGGGAAAUUGGUGACCUUAAUACCCACAGUUAAAAUAUUUUGGUCACAAUUGCUGCAAAGGCGCAAUUGGCACGGCAUUUCUCGACCUGAGGCUGCUGAAAGGGCCAGGAAGCGCAUUAAUUCCGCAGUGUGUAAGAAGGUGGCGGAUUUGGGUGGAUUGGUUAUUUCCCGCCCGGAUAUUACCUUCAAGGCUCUGGCCCUUUACCGCAAUGAUGGAGUACAUCUCUCUGUACUGGGGAAUGAUGUUUGGUUGGAUGCGGUAACUGCAA